UGUGCCGCUUGCGAGGGCGUAUGGUGGAUGCCUUGGCAGACAGUACCGAUGAAGGACGUUUGAGGAUGCGAUAAUCCUAGGGGAGCCUCCAACAUGGCUUUGAUCCUAGGGUCUCCGAAUGGGGGAACCCGCCGGCCGUCAUGGGCCGGCACCGCCUAUGGGCGGGGGGUACGCAGGGAAGUGAAACAUCUCAGUACCUGCAGGAAGGGAUACUCCGUGAGUAGUGGCGAGCGAAAGCGGAUCAGACCAAACCGGUUGCGCGUGAUACCCGUCGGGGGUUGCGUUGCCGGUGUUGUGGGAUCACGUGUCCCGGUUCCGACGGGCCGGGCGGGAGUCAUAAAACGGCUUGCCAGGGGAACAGGCUUGAAGGCCUGGCCGUAGAGGGUGCCAGCCCCGUACCUGGACGUGAGCCGUCUUCCGAUCGUGUUGUCCCAAGUAGCGCGGGCCUCGUGGAAUCCCGCGUGAAUCAGCCCAGACCGUUGGGUAAGUCUAAGCAUACCUGUCUGACCGAUAGCGUACCAGUACCGUGAGGGAAAGGUGAAAAGCACCCCGGGAGGGGAGUGAAACAGUUCCUGAAACCGUGCGCCCACAAACCGUCGGAGCCUCCUUGUGGGGUGACGGCGUGCCUAUCGAAAAAUGAGUCUGCGAGUCAGUGGCGGGUGGCGAGCAUAAGCCGUGUGGCGUAUGCGUAGCGAAAGCGAGUCUUAAAAGGCGUUUUUAGUCGCUUGUCCUGGACCCGAAGCGGGAUGAUCUAGCCCUGGGCAGGUUGAAGCGCGGGUAAGACCGCGUGGAGGACCGAACCCACCUGGGUUGAAAACCGGGGGGAUGACCUGGGGCUAGGGGUGAAAGGCCAAUCAAAUUCCGUGAUAGCUGGUUCUCUCCGAAAUGCAUUUAGGUGCAGCGUCGGUCGAUUGCGUCGCGGGGGUAGAGCUACCGGAUGCUUGCGGGCCCUUGUUGGGUACCAACAGCAGCCGAACUCCGAAUACCGUUGACGUGUAUUCCGGCAGUGAGUCGGCGGGGGAUAAGCUCCGUCGUCGAGAGGGAGACAGCCCAGACCGUCGUCUAAGGUCCCGAAGCGUGUGCUAAGUGGGAAAGGAUGUGGAGUCGCAUAGACAGCCAGGAGGUUGGCUCAGAAGCAGCCAUCCUUGAAAGAGUGCGUAACAGCUCACUGGUCUAGUGGUUCCGCGCCGACAAUGUAGCGGGGCUCAAGCACACCACCGAAGACGCGGCAGCAAUCUUCAUGGUUGCUGGGUAGGAGAGCGUCCUGCGAGGGGCGAAGCGGCCGGGUAACCGUGCCGUGGACUUCGUGGGAGUGAGAAUGCAGACAUGAGUAGCGAGAGACGGGUGAGGAUCCCGUCCGCUGGAUGACCAAGGGUUCCGGGGCCACGUUCGUCGUCCCCGGGUGAGUCGGGUCCUAAGGCGAGGCCGACAGGCGUAGUCGAAUGGAUGAACGGGUGGAUAUUCCCGUACCGACCAUGGACCGGCAAAACCGAGACGGUGAGUACUAACCUCCGCCUCGUGGUGGUUCCUUCCUUCGGGUUGGUAUCGCCGCGUGGUGUUGGGACUGUAGCCGCAGUAGGUCAGCGCAGGGGUGACACGGAAUGGGAGCCGGCCGCGGAGGUGGUUUUCCGUGGUCAAGCACGCAGCCAGUCAUGUAGGCAAAUCCGCAUGGCGCGCAUGGCGAGGUGUGAUGAUGGGAGCCGUUAUGGCUCGAUAUCCGGUUGUCCAGGCCGUCGAGAAAAGCCUCGGCGUGAGGGCCAUGGCCGCCCGUACCCCAAACCGACACUGGUGGUCAGGUAGAGAAUACCAAGGCGAUCGAGCGAAUCCUGGUCAAGGAACUCGGCAAAUCACUCCCGUGCCUUCGGUAUAAGGGAGACCCGCUGGGGUGAACCGGCUAG
rnacentral:rRNA from 1 species